UUUUAUAGACAGGACUACAGUAUAUCAACGAUAACACCACCCGUCACAGAAGAGGUUUUAUAGACAGGACUACAGUAUAUCAACGAUAACACCACCCGUCACAGAAGAGGUUUUAUAGACAGGACUACAGUAUAUCAACGAUAACACCACCCGUCACAGAAGAGGUUUUAUAGACAGGACUACAGUAUAUCAACGAUAACACCACCCGUCACAGAAGAGGUUUUAUAGACAGGACUACAGUAUAUCAACGAUAACACCACCCGUCACAGAAGAGGUUUUAUAGACAGGACUACAGUAUAUCAACGAUAACACCACCCGUCACAGAAGAGGUUUUAUAGACAGGACUACAGUAUAUCAACGAUAACACCACCCGUCACAGAAGAGGUUUUAUAGACAGGACUACAGUAUAUCAACGAUAACACCACCCGUCACAGAAGAGGUUUUAUAGACAGGACUACAGUAUAUCAACGAUAACACCACCCGUCACAGAAGAGGUUUUA